rnacentral:rRNA from 1 species
AUUGAACGCUGGCGGCAUGCUUUACACAUGCAAGUCGAACGGUAACGGGCCGCCAGGUGCUGACGAGUGGCGCACGGGUGAGUAAUGCAUCGGAACGUGCCCAGUCGUGGGGGAUAACUACUCGAAAGAGUAGCUAAUACCGCAUACGAUCUAUGGAUGAAAGCGGGGGACCGUAAGGCCUCGCGCGGUUGGAGCGGCCGAUGUCAGAUUAGGUAGUUGGUGGGGUAAAGGCUCACCAAGCCAACGAUCUGUAGCUGGUCUGAGAGGACGACCAGCCACACUGGGACUGAGACACGGCCCAGACUCCUAAGGGAGGCAGCAGUGGGGAAUUUUGGACAAUGGGCGCAAGCCUGAUCCAGCAAUGCCGCGUGCAGGAAGAAGGCCUUCGGGUUGUAAACUGCUUUUGUACGGAACGAAACGGCUCUGGUUAAUACCCGGGGCUAAUGACGGUACCGUAAGAAUAAGCACCGGCUAACUACGUG